rnacentral:tRNA from 1 species
AACUUAAUCUUCUUCAAGCCUUGAUGGUGAAAUGGUAGACACGCGAGACUCAAAAUCUCGUGCUAAGCGCGUGGAGGUUC